AACGAACGCUGGCGGCAGGCUUAACACAUGCAAGUCGAACGCUCCGCAAGGAGAGUGGCAGACGGGUGAGUAACACGUGGGAACGUACCCUUUACUACGGAACAACUCCGGGAAACUGGAGCUAAUACCGUAUGUGCCCUUUGGGGGAAAGAUUGAUCGGUAAAGGAUCGGCCCGCGUUGGAUUAGCUAGUUGGUGGGGUGAAGGCCUACCAAGGCGACGAUCCAUAGCUGGUCUGAGAGGAUGAUCAGCCACAUUGGGACUGAGACACGGCCCAAACUCCUACGGGAGGCAGCAGUGGGGAAUAUUGGACAAUGGGCGCAAGCCUGAUCCAGCCAUGCCGCGUGUGAUGAAGGCCUUAGGGUUGUAAAGCACUUUCACCGGAGAAGAUAAUGACGGUAUCCGGAGAAGAAGCCCCGGCUAACUUCGUGCCAGCCGCCGCAGUAAUAC
rnacentral:rRNA from 1 species